GGACCCGCACAAGCAGCGGAGCAUGUGGUUUAAUUCGAAGCAACGCGAAGAACCUUACCAGGUCUUGACAUCCUCUGACAAUCUGAGAGAUCAGACUUUCCCUUCGGGGACAGAGAGACAGGUGGUGCAUGGUUGUCGUCAGCUCGUGUCGUGAGAUGUUGGGUUAAGUCCCGCAACGAGCGCAACCCCUGUGGUUAGUUGCCAUCAUUUAGUUGGGCACUCUAAGCAGACUGCCGUGGAUAACACGGAGGAAGGUGGGGACGACGUCAAAUCAUCAUGCCCCUUAUGACCUGGGCUACACACGUGCUACAAUGGUCUGAACAGAGGGCUGCGAAACCGCGAGGUGAAGCUAAUCCCUUAAAACAGAUCUCAGUUCGGAUUGCAGGCUGCAACUCGCCUGCAUGAAGUUGGAGUUGCUAGUAAUCGCAGAUCAGAAUGCUGCGGUGAAUGCGUUCCCGGGUCUU
rnacentral:rRNA from 1 species